UGAGGAAUAUUGGUCAAUGGGCGGAAGCCUGAACCAGCCAUGCCGCGUGAAGGACUAAGGCCCUAUGGGUCGUAAACUUCUUUAGACGCAGAGCAAUAAGGGUCUCGCGAGAUCCGAUGAGAGUAUGCGUAGAAUAAGCAUCGGCUAACUCCGUGCCAGCAGCCGCGGUAAUACGGGGGAUGCGAGCGUUAUCCGGAUUUAUUGGGUUUAAAGGGAGCGUAGGCGGAGAGAUAAGUCAGCGGUAAAAUCGUGCGGCUCAACCGUACCUCGCCGUUGAUACUGUUUUUCUUGAGUGCACACAGGGAUGCUGGAAUUCGUCGUGUAGCGGUGAAAUGCUUAGAUAUGACGAAGAACUCCGAUCGCGAAGGCAGGUGUCCGGGGUGCAACUGACGCUGAGGCUCGAAAGUGCGGGUAUCAAACAGGAUUAGAUACCCUGGUAGU
rnacentral:rRNA from 1 species